rnacentral:lncRNA from 1 species
AAGCAAAAAGUCCUUAAUUAGGGGAAUAACAGCCCCUUCAGCCCACCCCGAACGGAUGCCUCGAAUAUAGUUGAUUUAUUAACAUCAUUAUGGGCUUUGUAGAAUUGAAAUUUGACUUUGAUGUUUUUUUUUGAUUCUUAGGAAAAAUUUGAAAACCUUUUAACAAGAAAAUGUAUUAUAUAAUAUGUUUUAGUAAAGCCUGAAAUCGUGUCUUGAUCUUGAAAGGGAAUUUGAGUCCAUUAUUCUUAGUAUAUAAAAAGAAUAGCAAUUUAUCACUCUUUAAUUAAUCAACACAGUCCAUAAAGAGUUAUUAUGUCACUUGAAUGAUUUAUGACGCCUUACUUGGAAAAUAGAUAACUUUACUAGUGUUAGGUUAAUUCUGGAAAUCCUGGACCGGUUUGAAACCGUUUGAGUUUUUGUUAGAUGGAACUAUUUAAUUCCAACCUUUGAAGAUAAAUUUAGUUUGGACCGGUCACAUAGAAAUAAUUCGGUCUAGAUCAGUCUUAUACCCAAAAAAAAUAUCGGUCCUGAUCUCUUGAUUUUGGAUUUUUGAAAUAUUUUUACAAAACAUUUCAAUUUCUCGAUAUUUUAUUUAUUCCAAAAACCAAGUCUAUUUAACGUCUGGGAAGAUGCACGGCGCUAGUAUCGUGGCAAAACUAAAUAGGAUUUUAUACGAUAGUUAUGACAUAAACCAUAGACCAAGCUCAAAUAUCAUAAGAAAGUGAUUUUACAUGAAUUCAAAUUCCUAUUAGGGGCUUAAAUUUGAGAUUAUGUCAGUGGGGAGUUUUGAUAUUCUCGUAGAUCAAAAAGUCAUUUAAUAACUGUUUCUUUUUUUCUGUACAUAGAUGCCGUUGAGAACCACUGACGUGUUUUUCCAAAUAGGAAGGAAAUCGUCCCCAAUUCCGUGAGACAGAAAAAAUAAAAUCAAUCCACGGUAAAAUCCCUAACAACCAAAAAAAAAACCCCCAAAAAAGCGGUUUCGAGCUGAGUCUCAACACUAUUAAAUACAUUAUUUUUCCGGGUAAUCAUGGACAAUUAAUAUUAUUAGAGAAUGUACCUAUCUUGUAUGUACAUACAAUUUCGGUAUUAAAUCUAUCUGUAUUUCUUUUCAUGGAGCCAAGAAAUUUAAGACGCAAAAGAACAUUAUCAAUGUAAUAUGUAUGCUUCUAAAGAAACAGGAGGAGCCAAAAAAUAACAACAACAACAACAACGUAUCUUCUACAAUAUAAUAUGUGUUAACGAUUGUAUUUAGAGAGAAUGUAAUAUCUACUCAGUCUAAUACUACAACAAUAAGAAGCGCUGGAAGCAGAAGAAAUAACAAUAUCCAUGUAGUUCUUCAAGUGUUUUAUAAACUCAAAUUAUGAUUAUUUUUGUAUGUAUAUAGAAAUUGUUGCUAAAGCCUUAGUGAUGAGCUGUUUAGAGUAACUGCUGUUACUAUGGCAACAAAUAUAAAGUGUGCUUAAAUGAUGUAUUUGAACUCCAUUUUCUAUCUACGGAUUAUACGAAUAUUAUAAAAUUCUGUAAAUGUCUAAACUUUGUUAUUCAGUUGUGCAAAGUUCUUAAUAUUCUAUUUGUUUUUGUUAAUAUCCGAUAUUAUUUGUGAUCUAUUUAAAAAAAUCUUGUUUCUGUCUCAACUCAUCAAGUCUCAUUUUGAUAUGUACCCCUUGAAAGUCUUGACCUCGUCACCCAUAAUACCAAAAAAACAGUAUUAUUUUUUUUAUUUAAAAAAAAUAAAUAUAUAUAUCGUUAUAUUUGAUUUAUUUUGUUUCAAUUUUUUGAGAAUAGACAUGGAUUUUUGAAUUUUUUUUCCACAAAAUUUAAUUCCUGGAUUUCUUUUCAAAAAAAUUCCAAAAACCAAAAUUAAAAUAGUAUAUUUUCUGGAGAACAAUUUCACAAAUCACCAGCCAUUCACUAAAAAUUUUGGGAAAAAGUUAGAAAAAUUGAAUUUUUUGGAAAAAAAUUUAUAAACAUAAUAAUUUUUUUUUUUUGUAAAAACCAAAAUUAAUUUUGGGGAAGGGGUACACCCCCUGCGGACGCCCUUGUUUUUUUGUAUAAAUUAGUUCAUGUAUGAAUAAAAAGAGAUCUUUAUUAGAAUCUAAACAAUAAUUAUCUCCUGGCAAAUUA